CCCAUUUCCCCUAGUCUUUUUCAUUUUCUCUCUCUCUCUCUCUCUCUCUCUCUCUCUCUCUCCCCCUCUCUCCACCGUUCUCUGUUGUGCUCCAUCGCCGCCGUUGAGAAGCUCGCCUCGCCGCCAUGGUUCACUCUGACCAUCGCCUCGCCGCCGUGAGGACCUGUGAGGAUUCACCUCGCCGCUGUGAAGAUGCCGUGAGGAGUGAGGACGCCGUCGAGCUCCAUUCUCUUCGCCUUGCCGCCCAAACCUCGUCAUUUGCUCCUCAGUCUCAGCCUCUGCAUCUCUGAGCGUAGCUGAAUCGAGCACAACCCAAGGAGCCAACCGAAUCGGGUCUUUGAUUGUUGGGCUGCCAGUGGCUUCGCAAUUUGUGCAUUUCGAAUUGAUGAAAUCGGGCUCCACUUGUCCGGUUUGUAAAGUCCCAUAUUGGCGUAGAGUACACAAAAUACAAAAGAAAAACUUUUGGCUCUUCAAAUACCUCUGCUCCGCUCAACUUAAAAGCGCUGGUUUGAAUCUGAUCCUUUGUGUCAGCGAGUUCUGGCCAUAGCCAGGCUUUGAAGUAAACUAACUUUUGUAGACUCUGCUAAAGCAAAAUGGUUUCCAACGCUACAGCUGGACUGACAUGUCCAUCCCGAAUGAAACCUACCUCAAAUGGCAUAUUUCAGGGAGAUGAUCCUCUUCAAUUUUCACUGCCUCUUGCCAUUAUGCAGAUAUGCCUUGUAGUUGUAGUUACAUGGGGUCAGGCUUUCAUCCAAAAGCCAUUAAGACAGCCACGAGUUAUUGCAGAGAUCAUUGCCAAAGGUUUCAUUGGCACUUUUCUUCAAUUACAACACCUCGUUGGGACCGCCUUAUCGGGUUUUGGUAGAUACCAACUUCAUCAAUUUCUCUAUCCAGAAUAAACUGGACUUGGAGAAGGGAAUGAUGGACUUCCUAUAUGCAAAAUGUGAGUUUAGAAUCAUUGGUUUCUUCAAUUUAAUGUGAAUAUUAAUUUGCUGCAAGAAUUGUUGUGCCGUGUUGAUGAGGUAUCCUAAGUUCAACAUAGUUGUUAAUGUGGUUUUAUAACAAGCAUUGAGUGCCAUUUAUCAUUGGCAAACACUUAAAUAUGUGUUGGUUGCUUAAUGAUAUUUAUCAAAAUAUUACUCUUGGUUGUGUGGAUGUCCAUAAAAAUGCUUAAGGAAUAAAAUGAGGAACAUUUUUUAAAUUA